GCAUGAAAUAGAAUUGUGGUAUUAAAAAAAAAAGGAAGAAGAUUGAUGAUAUAUAGGGGUUAAAUCCUUGGAUCUCAAAUAGUGAUCUUUGGGGAAAUUGUUCUAGGUAUCCACCGUCCAUGCUGGUUAAUGCUCUGGUAGACUUGCUUCAUAUAAUGGAUACUGUUUAAAAUGGUUUAUGGUGUUAUGACAAUGUUGUUGCAGAUAAAAUUCUUUCCUUAUCAAAUUUUCUUAUGUGCGUAUCUUAUACUUGCUCAAGCUCAAUUACCGCUUGCAUGUUAUUACUUUUUGGUAACUCGUUGUAUUGGAUAAUUUCCUAUUUAAUUUGGGUCAAUAUUGAUCAUUUCAUCACCUCUAUAAGGG
rnacentral:misc_RNA from 1 species